CAUUCCCGUCCCCGUUGUCUAAAAUAGCCUUCUCCCCUCCCCUUCGUUCUGCUGAAAUUUUCUUCUUCUUCGAUUUAGUUUAGAUAUUUGCUUCUGGCGUUCAUAUUUCAGUUUUUAUUUUCGACAUAUUUCUUGGUUAUGAAAGAACCCAGAGUGGUGCACCGCUUAUCCUUCACUUCUGGGCUUCUUGGUGUGAGGCUUCAAAGCAAAUGGACAAAGUCUUUUCCCAUCUCUCCAUUGAUUUUCCCAACGCUCACUACCAUAGGGUUCCUCUUCUAUUCCCUUUUUAAGCUUCAUAAUGCAGGGUUCCUUGCCCAAAAGCGCCUGACUAAUGGGCUUAGGCACAAGUUAUACUGAAGCCGUUGCUCUCAUUGCCACUCAGAUUCUCGAGUUUGUUCGUGAUGGUGACAAGAGUGUGGCUGAAUUGAUGGACGUUGGCAAACAACUUUUGGGAAGGAGGCAGGUUUUUUCAUCGGUGCCAUAUUUAUUGGAUUCUGUUCAGUGCCUUCUAAUGAGGAACCCGAAAUGGAUGAUAAAACUGUUCCCGAUGAAGUGAUCCCAAAAGGUGGGACGAUUACACUUAAUUCCGGGAGGAGAGCAGUAAGCCUCAGAGUCACUAACAGUGGAGAUAGGCCGGUUCAGGUAGGAAACCAUUAUCACUUUAUCGAGGUAAACCCUGACUUGAAUUUCGAUCGAAGUAAAGCAUUAGGCAUGCGGCUAAAUAUACCAGCGGGAACAGCUUAAAGAUUUGAGGUCGAGCGAGCAUUUUAACCUUCAUCUGUUGAUAAGCUUGUUGUUUGAUCAUUGAUUAAGUCAAUUAACGGUUAUUCAUUGAUCAUGUUGUGGGUGUUGGUUAUGUAUAUGUGUCGACACAGGAUGGUAUGAUUUUUGAUAAAUUGGAGGGUGCAGAUCCUUCCAGUCUCGCCAAAAAAGUUGCCAAGGUUACUGGGCUUAUUAACCCUGGAGAAGCUGCUGCUCCUGCUAGUCUUGGGAUGGCUGCCGGCCCCACCGUCCUUGAGACGGUCCAAGAUUUGGCAAAGGUAAAUGGUUCAUCCCAGACAGGAAAUCAAGUGCAAACUGGUCUCGACGACAAACUUAAAAAACGCUUACAUCCUUUUCUUUUCCUUGAUUUCAUUUUUUUUCUCGAGUGAUGAUUGCAGAGUUGAAGAAGUCGUUGCACGUUGUGUUCUCACAAUUCGGAAAGAUACUGGAUGUGUUAGCAUUGAAGACGCUGAAACACAAAGGUCAAGAUUGGGUUAUUUUCGAGGAUGUUAGCUCCGCUACCAAUGCUCUUAGGCGAAUGCAGGGCUUUCCCUUUUAUGACAAGGAGAUGGUAUAUGUAUUUUUGCAAUUGGUUUCUUGUUUCUGUCAUUGAUGGAGACUGCAACAAGUUUCCAAGCUCCGCUUUUAAUAUGUCAAAAUUGUUUUUCCUUGUUUCUGUCUAUGAAUUAUUAUUAAAUUCUCUAUGUUU